GAUGAAGAACGUAGCGAAAUGCGAUAAGUAGUGUGAAUUGCAGAAUUCAGUGAAUCAUCGAAUCUUUGAACGCACAUUGCGCCCUUUGGUAUUCCAAAGGGCAUGCCUGUUCGAGCGUCAUUUGUACCCUCAAGCUUUGCUUGGUGUUGGGCGUCUUGUCUCCAGCUUUGCUGGAGACUCGCCUUAAAGUAAUUGGCAGCCGGCCUACUGGUUUCGGAGCGCAGCACAAGUCGCACUCUCUAUCAGCAAAGGUCUAGCAUCCAUUAAGCCUUUUUUUCAACUUUUGACCUCGGAUCAGGUAGGGAUACCCGCUGAACUUAAGCAUAUCAAUAAGCGGAGGA
rnacentral:misc_RNA from 1 species